rnacentral:rRNA from 1 species
CAGCCGCCGCGGGAAUACGGAGGGGGCUAGCGUUGUUCGGAAUUACUGGGCGUAAAGCGCACGUAGGCUGCUUUGUAAGUCAGAGGUGAAAGCCCGGGGCUCAACCCCGGAUGUGCUUUUGAGACUGCAGGGCUAGAACGUCGGAGAGGUGAGUGGAAUUCCGAGUGUAGAGGUGAAAUUCGUAGAUAUUCGGAAGAACACCAGUGGCGAAGGCGGCUCACUGGACGACUGUUGACGCUGAGGUGCGAAAGCGUGGGGAGCAAACAGGAUUAGAUACCCGUGUAGUCCCUGUCUCUUAUAC